AUUGAACGCUGGCGGCAGGCCUAACACAUGCAAGUCGAACGGUAACAGGAAGAAGCUUGCUUCUUUGCUGACGAGUGGCGGACGGGUGAGUAAUGUCUGGGAAACUGCCUGAUGGAGGGGGAUAACUACUGGAAACGGUAGCUAAUACCGCAUAACGUCGCAAGACCAAAGAGGGGGACCUUCGGGCCUCUUGCCAUCGGAUGUGCCCAGAUGGGAUUAGCUAGUAGGUGGGGUAACGGCUCACCUAGGCGACGAUCCCUAGCUGGUCUGAGAGGAUGACCAGCCACACUGGAACUGAGACACGGUCCAGACUCCUACGGGAGGCAGCAGUGGGGAAUAUUGCACAAUGGGCGCAAGCCUGAUGAAGCCAUGCCGCGUGUAUGAAGAAGGCCGUCGGGUUGUAAAGUACUUUCAGCGGGGAGGAAGGGAGUAAAGUUAAUACCUUUGAUCAUUGACGUUACCCGCAGAAGAGGCACCGGCUAACUCCG
rnacentral:rRNA from 1 species